UACGGAGGGGGCAAGCGUUGUUCGGAAUUACUGGGCGUAAAGGGCGCGCAGGCGGCUGCUCAAGUCAGGCGUGAAAGGCCUGGGCUCAACCCGGGAAUUGCGCUUGAGACUGGGCUGGCUUGAGUGCGGGAGAGGAUGGUGGAACUCCCAGUGUAGAGGUGAAAUUCGUAGAUAUUCGCAAGAACACCAGUGGCGAAGGCGGCUCACUGGCCCGGUACUGACGCUGAGGUGCGAAAGCGUGGGGAGCAAACAGG
rnacentral:rRNA from 1 species